rnacentral:rRNA from 1 species
UACGUAGGGAGCAAGCGUUGUCCGGAAUCAUUGGGCGUAAAGCGCGCGUAGGUGGCCUAGUAAGUCCGCUGUGAAAGUCAAAGGCUCAACCUUUGGAAGCCGGUGGAUACUGUGGGGCUAGAGUACGGAAGAGGCGAGUGGAAUUCCUGGUGUAGCGGUGGAAUGCGCAGAUAUCAGGAGGAACACCAAUAGCGAAGGCAGCUCGCUGGGACGUUACUGACACUGAGGCGCGAAAGCGUGGGGAGCGAACAGG